GAGUCGAGUUAUUUGGGACUAUAGCUCUAAUAGUUUGGUUGGUGGUAAUGACACAUCAAAGGCUAAAUAUUGGUUAGUCGAUGCAUAUUGCGGAGACCGAUAGCAUACAAGUACCGUAAGGGAACGAUGAAAAGCACCCUAUUGAGUUCACGGCGCAGACUUGCUUCGGUUCGCCGUUGCUUGUCCCGCGCCCAACAACUACAGUGGGAGUGAAAGAGAGAGUGAAAUCGCCUAUACAUUAAAACAAUAUACUAUAUGCACACACAUACACACAGUGUAAUUGCAUACAGCAUACACACAGUCUGCGUUAGUACAAUCGGACAGAGUGUCGUAUAACUUUAUAUGGCCGCCUAAUAUACGCACACACACAAUGUAUUUUAUGGUCUGGCUCAUAGCCGGUUUCGACCGCUAUACGCGACACAACUGUACGACCCGUUUUGAAACACGGGACCAAGGAGUUCAACUGGAUUACGAGUCGUAGAGUAACAUGUAUCUAUAUACAACUAUAUUUACACUCACACGGCAUAGCGAAAGCAACUUAAUCCUUUACUGUGCUAGGUUGGCCCUCAAAAGCUGACCGCAGCACGCGCUGAGUGUGUAUAUACGUGAGGGCCUUAGUGUCAACGCGUAUACCUGUCAAAGGCUCUCGUGGCUGCUAACAGGAUCACUCAAGCGCUCAACGAGUAUAUCUUGUUGAGACCCGAAAGAUGGUGAACUAUGCUCGGAUAUGGCGAAGUCAGGUGAAAACUUGAUGGAAGCUUGCGUUGUGCGGAACUGACGUGCAAAUCGUUACCGCCUAACCUGAGUAUAGGGGCGAAAGACUCAUCGAACCAUCUAGUAGCUGGUUCCCUCCGAAGUUUCCCUCAGGAUAGC
rnacentral:rRNA from 1 species